AUAUGAGAAUUCAUGAGUUUCUUGUAAAGCAAAGUAAUGUGGAGAUUAGCAAUAUA
rnacentral:tRNA from 1 species